GUUAGGAAUAUUGGACAAUGGGCGCAAGCCUGAUCCAGCCAUGCCGCGUGAACGAUGAAGGCCUUCGGGUUGUAAAGUUCUUUAGCCGAUGAUUAUAAUGACUGUAGUCGGAAAAUAAGCCCCGGCUAACUUCGUGCCAGCAGCCGCGGUAAUACGAAGGGGGCGAGCGUUAUUCGGAAUCACUGGGCGUAAAGCGUGCGUAGGCGGUCUCGUAAUUUAGGAGUGAAAGCCCAGGGCUCAACCUUGGAAUUGCUCUUAAAACUGCAAGGCUAGAAUCUCGGAGAGGAUAGCGGAAGUUCCAGCGUAGCAGUGAAAUGCAUAGAUAUUGGAAGGAACACCAGUGGCGUAAGCGGCUAUCUGGACGAGUAUUGACGCUGAGGCACGAAAGCGUGGGGAUCAAACAGGAUUAGAAACCCCUGUAGUCC
rnacentral:rRNA from 1 species